UGUUUUUUCUUGGCAGCAUUUUAAGAAAUGUCCAAUUGUGCUUCAUCAGCUUGCAACUGCAGCAGAAGGAGUUCGGACACAGUGUGAGAGGAUGCUGCCAAAGACCAAAAACAGUCAGCAACAAAAAGCCCAGACUGAUGACACCAGUGAUCUGAACUGCAAGCUCAAGAGCAAGAAAGUUUCCAAACUGAAGAAAGUUUGUGCCUAGAAAGUUUCCAAGCCUGUAUUCUCAGGGUUCUGUAUGCUGUAUCUUCAGUGUAUGUCAAAGGUAGAAAUGUAAAUCCUUUUUUUUUUAUCUUGUGAAUUAUUCUUUUAC
rnacentral:lncRNA from 1 species